GGCGUAGGCGGCCUGCCAAGUCGGAUGUGAAAUCUCCCGGCUUAACUGGGAGGGUGCGUUCGAUACUGGCAAGCUAGAGUGCAGUAGAGGAAAGCGGAAUUCCCGGUGUAGUGGUGAAAUGCGUAGAUAUCGGGAAGAACACUAGUGGCGAAGGCGGCUUUCUGGGCUGUAACUGACGCUGAGGUCCGAAGGCGUGGGGAGCGAACA
rnacentral:rRNA from 1 species